rnacentral:rRNA from 1 species
AUGAACGCUGGCGGCGUGCUUAACACAUGCAAGUCGAACGAAGCACCUCUAAUUGAAGAUUGACGAAGCUUGCUUCUGAUUGAUUCGCCUUGAGGUGACUGAGUGGCGGACGGGUGAGUAACGCGUGGGUAACCUACCCUAUACAGGGGGAUAACAGUUUGGAAACAGCUGCUAAUACCGCAUAAGCGCACAGCUUCGCAUGAAGCAGUGUGAAAAACUCCGGUGGUAUAGGAUGGACCCGCGUCUGAUUAGCUAGUUGGUGAGGUAACGGCUCACCAAGGCGACGAUCAGUAGCCGACCUGAGAGGGUGACCGGCCACAUUGGGACUGAGACACGGCCCAAACUCCUACGGGAGGCAGCAGUGGGGAAUAUUGCACAAUGGGCGAAAGCCUGAUGCAGCGACGCCGCGUGAACGAAGAAGUAUUUCGGUAUGUAAAGUUCUAUCAGCAGGGAAGAAAAAUGACGGUACCUGACUAAGAAGCUCCGGCUAAAUACGUGCCAGCCGCCGC